rnacentral:rRNA from 1 species
GAUGAACGCUAGCGGCAGGCCUAACACAUGCAAGUCGAGGGGUAACAGGAGAAAGCUUGCUUUCUUGCUGACGACCGGCGCACGGGUGCGUAACGCGUAUAGAACCUACCUUUUACAGAGGGAUAGUCCGAAGAAAUUUGGCAUAAUACCUCAUAGUAUUAUCGAUUGGCAUCGAUUGAUAAUUAAAGAUUUAUCGGUAAAAGAUGGCUAUGCGUCCUAUUAGCUAGUUGGUACGGUAACGGCGUACCAAGGCAACGAUAGGUAGGGGUUCUGAGAGGGAUAUCCCCCACACUGGUACUGAGACACGGACCAGACUCCUACGGGAGGCAGCAGUGAGGAAUAUUGGACAAUGGUGGCAACACUGAUCCAGCCAUGCCGCGUGCAGGAAGACGGCCUUAUGGGCUGUAAACUGCUUUUAUAUGGGAAGAACCGCAGGUACGCGUACCUGUCUGACGGUACCAUAUGAAUAAGCACCGGCUAACUCCGUGCCAGCAGCCGCGGUAAUACGGAGGGUGCAAGCGUUAUCCGGAAUCAUUGGGUUUAAAGGGUCCGUAGGCGGGUUAAUAAGUCAGGGGUGAAAUCUCACAGCUCAACUGUGAAACUGCCUUUGAUACUGUUAGCCUUGAAUGAUAUGGAAGUAGAUAGAAUGUGUAGUGUAGCGGUGAAAUGCAUAGAUAUUACACAGAAUACCGAUUGCGAAGGCAGUCUACUGCGUAUUUAUUGACGCUAAUGGACGAAAGCGUGGGGAGCGAACAGG